GUGGAUUAGAUACCCGGGUAGUCCUGGCUGUAAACGAUGGGUACUAGGCGUCGGGGGUAUCGACCCCCUCGGUGCCGCAGCUAACGCGUUAAGUACCCCGCCUGGGGACUACGGCCGCAAGGUUGAAACUCAAAGGAAUUGACGGGGGCCCGCACAAGCGGUGGAGCAUGUUGCUUAAUUCGAUGCAACGCGAAGAACCUUAUCCAGGCUUUGACAUCCUGCGAAUUUCCUAGAAAUAGGGAAGUGCCUUCGGGAGCGCAGAGACAGGUGGUGCACGGCCGUCGCCAGCU
rnacentral:rRNA from 1 species